AGAAUACUUAAGACCUUCAACCCAAACCCUAAAGUAAACCAACACAUAAAUCAGUACAACUCAAAUAACUUCACCAGAAACUAAAUUACCGCAAGGGCCUACAAAAUCUAUAUAAAAGAAAUGCUAAAUCACUAUACCUUUCGCACCAUGUAGCUGCAACAAAAAACAAUUAACUAUUGCCUCCCGAAAAGUGAGGAGCUAUUAUUAACACCCCCCCCCCGCAUUAGUGUGUCACUACUAAACCACAGUUAAUAAUAGGAGCAAAAUACCUUUCGAAUCACUUGAUAGCUGGCUGUUCCUUAAAAACAUAUAAGUGUGCCCUGACAGAAAACCACGAGUAAUUAACUGUCAGAGAAAAGUCAGUGAGGACAAGCUCGCUGAUAAAUAUAGAAAUAUGUCAAAUAAAACCUAUGCAAGUAGGCCCAAAAACAGCCAACAAAAUCCGUUAUAGGAAACAAACAUCAAAACUUAAUAUACAAAAACUAAUUCUAAACACAAGGAACCCUAAAACCAAACUAAUGUCUUAACGAACUGGCAAACUAUUAGUAUCUACAUUUACUCAAAAGAGCAAACACAAAUAAUUACCUCACCCGAUAACACAAUAAUCCUAACACCGCAGAUAAUGAACUCGGCAAAACUCUUUCUCGCCUGUUUACCAAAAACAUCGUCUUUUGUUUCCAAACAUAAAAGAUAUCGCCUGCCCAAUGAUUUAACUAUUAAAUGGCCGCGUUAGCGUGAGCGUGCUAAGGUAGCGUAAUAAACAGCUCUCUAAUUAGGAGCCAGUGAACGGCAAAACAGGAAAGAACUGUAUCACCUGCGCAAAGAAAACUUUUCAUUUAAGUGAAAAGACUUAAAUAAAGGAGAAAGACAAAAAGACCCCGCGGAACUCCCCUCACAAACUAAUGCUAACAGAAACACAAGCCACAGAAAUUGAGGUUGGUUGGGGCAACCUUGGAGCAAACAAAACCUCCAAACUCACCAUUAAAACUAAUAGAAAACUUACUACGGAAAAUAUAGCAGUUACCCCGGGGAUAACAGCGUAAUCCAGCUUGAGAGUACGCAUUGAAAGCUGGGUUUGCGACCUCGAUGUUGGCUUAGGGAAAGCAACUUGGCGCAGCCACUAAGUUUAUAUUGCCAGUCUGUUCGACUGCAAACCCCCUACACGAGCUGAGUUAAGACCGGCGAGAGCUAGGUUGGAUUAUAUCUUCUCCCAUUACUAACACUCUUUAUUGUACGAAAGGACCCAAAGAGGCACACAAAACUGUACCAUUUAUAAGCACAUAAUUAUACGCACACAUUCAAUUCACCACCUA
rnacentral:rRNA from 1 species